AUUAACACUAACUGUCAUAAUAUGCAUAUUUGUUUUGUGAUUUCUCUUAGAUCGAUAUAACAGAGUGAGCUGGAUAUAGUGGGCCAUGCCUUUAAUCCCGGAACUCCACGUAGUGAGUUCUACAGCAGCCAGAACUACAUAGUAAGAGUCUGUCUCAAAAUCCUCAACACCAAAACAGAAAAGAAAAACAGAAAAAAAAAAAAAAAAGAAAGAAAGAAAAGGUGCUACGGCUCAAAGGAAGGAAGAAGACAACACGGUGCAUUUGGAAUACUUUUGAUCAUCGUUUACAUGUAUCUACUUUUAUUCAACACUGACUCCUCAGCUUAUUUUCCCAUUGUAGUGGAUAAACACCCUUGAGGACGCACGUGAGCAUGUAUCAGCAUAUGGACAUCUAGACCAGCCACGGGCUGGUGGAGCCAUCGUCUCAGGUGGCAGGUAGCUACUGCAUUGCCUAGCAUGUGUCUGAUGGGAAAGAGUAAG
rnacentral:lncRNA from 1 species